rfam:Gongylonema pulchrum genome assembly, scaffold: GPTH_scaffold0031069
CAAAAGGCCCUCUUUAGGGCCACAAAUCAAUGAGUCAUGCUUUC